rnacentral:rRNA from 1 species
UACGUAGGGUGCAAGCGUUAUUCGGAAUUACUGGGCGUAAAGCGUGCGCAGGCGGUUUUGUAAGUCUGACGUGAAAUCCCCGGGCUCAACCUGGGAAUUGCGUUGGAGACUGCAAGGCUAGAAUCUGGCAGAGGGGGGUAGAAUUCCACGUGUAGCAGUGAAAUGCGUAGAGAUGUGGAGGAACACCGAUAGCGAAGGCAGCCCCCUGGGUCAAGAUUGACGCUCAUGCACGAAAGCGUGGGGAGCAAACAGG